CUUUUGAUGUGAGCACCUGGAAGAAAGGUGUUGCUAUUUUUUUUUUAAAUUAUACUUUAAGUUCUAGGGUUUAGAUGGAAGAGAACACAUUGCUCCAUGCUAAGGACUAAUAUGAGGAGAAGCAGUUUGAAUAGAAGAUGUGUCCAGUGUUCAAGGAGUGAUUGUGCAGUAAGAUUGCUUCAAAGAGAAUAAAAUACCUAGGAAUCCAACUUACAAGGGAUGUGAAGGACCUCUUCAAGGAGAACUACAAACCGCUGCUCAAUGAAAUAAAAGAGGACACAAACAAAUGGAAGAACAUUCCAUGCUCAUGGAUAGGAAGAAUCAAUAUCAUGAAAAUGGACAUACUGCCCAAGGAAAUUUAUAGAUUCAAUGCCAUCCCCAUCCAGCU
rnacentral:lncRNA from 10 species